GUGUAGGGCACCCAAGCAUUUUGUAGUGGUUGAGAUCAGGCAUUGAGAGGUAAAGAUGGAUAUGCUGAUUUUGACAAUUUUGGCAGAUGAUAUUGUAUAAGAAAUUGAUUUCGUAGCUCGAAAAGAGGUUAGAAGGUUAAGAUGGAAAGUGUUGUCCGACUGAUUACUUUCUCUCCGUUUUACAAGACCUGAUUGGAGGGUAUCUAUGCUGGAGAAUGAAAUCAGUAGAAAGAAGAACGAUUGCUAAUGCACGAUCAGAGAGCAUUGAAAAUGAGAGGUACAUGGCUCGACUACACUGGACUGGAAGGGCUGUUUUUGUCGAUUUCGAUCAUGCUACGGAGUUGUUGCAUAUGAGAAAAAUUUAAGGAGGCGACAGAGGAGCAACGGAAGUGAUAUGGUGGGGCUCUUGGCUGCGGAAAAAAUCACGGGGUUAAUUAUCCAUCAGUGAGACAGCUUUCUUCACUCAUCCAUAUAGAGCAAUAUUUUCAUAUAGAGCAAUAUUUUCAUAUAGAGCAAUAUUUUCCAGGAGUUGUUCAUAGCAUUCUAUAACUUAGAUGAGAUUUAAGACAAUUGGGGUAUAAAUUUCUUCAAAUGAAGUUAAGAGAGUGCAAGAAACACUUAGCUCAAGUACAUUUGAUUAAUAAAAAUUUCAUACUCUCGACUUUUGCUUUUUAUUAGUCGAAGGACACAUCACUGUAUUUUUGUUUUUAUUUAUUGUUUCUUAGGACUUAUCUCAUCCUUUGAGGUUCUGCCAUAGUCAUGCUUUAUGCUUACUUUCAUUGUUUCAAAGUUGGAUAAUGUAUAAGGAUACCUACUUACAUUUUCAAUACAAUUUCUAAAAACAAGAGUUUGAGGGGAAGAUUUUUUAGCUAA